GUCUUAGAACAUGUUAAUAACUCAGACUGUGUACAAAGUUUAGAUGCUGUUAGUAACUAGACCAUAACAAAAUUAUCUAUUAGAUUAAUAUUUUUCAGAGUUGAAAAUCUUGUCUUAUGUUGCCUCAUUAUAAAAAUUAAAAUAAGCUUUAUAUGUAUUUCUGUACAGACAAGUAGUAUUCUAAUUAAUUUAAAAUAAAAAACCAAACUCUUUCAAGUUAGGGUAAACAGAACUAAAUUUGUGUAGCAGAACAUUAAGAUUUUUAUGUCUAUAGACAAACAUACUUUUUGAGAUAAUUCAAAGCCAAAGCCUAAUAGUGGUUUUUGUGUUUUAAGAGAGAAGCAAGUCCAAGUGUUAGGAAGGUCUCCGUGAGUUGUUCAUCACCGAGUGAACCAACUUUUCAAAAGUGUGUUGCCUUCUGCGUCUCUCUGUCCUUCCCACCUCCCUCCCAUAUUAUAGCAGAGCCAGUUAACCAUGAACAUGUCAGUCUUGGAGCCUUUACUUGAAAAGGUAAUAGUGUGAAGGACUACUUGUUCAUUCCAAGUAUUUGCUUAACUUUUUAAGUACUUGUCUAUAAGACUCUAUAAGAACUUAUUUGGUAUUCCUUUUAAUUUUUCACUCACAGCUGGGUAGUAGUGACACACGCCUUUAAUCCCAGCACUUUAGAAGCAGAAGCUAGUUGGUCUCUGAGUUCAAGGCCAGCCUUAUCUAGGUGUUAACAUAAAGAAACUAUAUCUUGAAAACCAAAAUAAAUGAAAAAAUUCUUACUUACUCAAGCUUAAUAUAAAUGUCCAGUCAGUGAAUAACAAAUGAUGAUUUUUCUCUGAGGACUUUUAUUGUAUUGUUACUUAAUUUAAAUUAGGACUUUAUUUCUCAAAUUUCAUUAAAAUUAGACCAGUAAUUUAUAUAAUAUGUACUAAAAAAGUUAUGUAUUUUCCAGGCUCAAAACAAGAAACAUCAUUCUAAUCCUCAGGCCAGGCCUUCCAUAUUGCAGUGUGUUCUCCCUCCCUUUCCUGACUCCUCUCUUUGCAUGCAUACAGUGGAGGGCUGUAUUUAAUGUUAACUACGACCCCAGCACCCAUGGGCUUUAUCCACUAGCUUAUUUGACUUAUGUUCCACCUACUAUCUAUAUCUAGUUUGCUGUUUUCAUAUUUUAGUGGAUAAUUUAGUUCUAAAGUACGCAGAGAUUGAGAACAAUGUGUGUAGCGUGCUUCUUCUAGUAAGUAUCGCUCAGACGGAAGUUCAAGUUCUGUCUGUAUUAAUUUAUAAAUUAAAAUUUUGGUUAGUGAUAGAGAGAAAAAAAAAAGUCCCAAUAAGUAAGAUACAACUCUAUGUAGUUAGAGAUAAUGCUACCAUAAUAAAGUACCCAGACUGUGGGGGGACUCUGUAUUUUGUAACAUUCACUUUGGGUAAAUGCUUUUUCACUGUUAAUAAAUGUAUAUCCUAUAUAAACUC
rnacentral:lncRNA from 1 species